rnacentral:lncRNA from 1 species
AGAGAACAAUGAGUAAGGGCCAUGUUAUGUAUGUGGAAGAACCAACCAUAUUGCUCGAGAUUGCUACUACAAAAAGACUAAGGAGUACAAGCUUAAGGACAAAUUUCAAAAGGAUCAAGUAAACAUGUUGAAGGAUGGUGGACAUUCCAUUAGGUGUGAAUCAUCAACAUUUUUGUCAAUUUUACUUAUAAUAGUAAUGAAUGGUGAUUAGAUUCUGGAGCAAAUAUUCAUGUUUUUUUUUAUAAGAAUUUGUUUAAAUCUUAUCAGACUUCAAGUGGAGGAAGCAUAACUUUGGGAAAUGACUCCAUCGCUCUUGUAUUGGGAUUUGGAAGUGUUGAGCUUAAGAUGACCUCUGGGAAAAGUUUAAUUUUAGAUCAAGUUCGCCAUAUUCCAGAAGUUAGAAGAAAUUUAUUUGGUAGAUCACUUUUAGUUCAACAAGGUUUUAAACUUGUAAUGGAGUCAAAUAAGAUUGUUAUAACAAAAAAUAAUAUUUUUGUUGGGAAAAGUUAUAUUAGUGAUGGAUUGUUUAAAUUGGAUAUUAUUGAAAAUCUUUAUCAUGAUUCUUCCAUGGUUCUUACUAAGGAAGUUAGUCAAUUGUGGCAUAAACGAUUAGGUCCUGCUGGUAAUAUGAAGAUCAAGAAACUUAUGGAUCUAAACUUGAUUCCAAAAUCUCAAAUUGGUAAUGAUAAGUGUGAAGUUUGUGUACAAGCCAAACAAAGUAAGAGACCUUUUAAAUCUGUUAGAAGGGACACAAACCUUUUAGAAUUGAUUCAUAGUGAUGUUUGUGAUUCUAAUAGAUUGACAACAAGAGUCGGUAAUAAAUAUUUUGUAACAUAUAUAGAUGACUAUUCUAAGUAUUGCUAUAUUUAUUUGUUGAAAGAGAAGGAUGAAAUCUAUGAUAAGUUCAAAAUCUAUAAAGCGGAGGUCGAAAAUCUAUUAGAACAUAAGAUCAAAAUUUUGAGGUCCGAUAGAGGAGGAGAAUAUACUAGGAAUAAUCUUAAGGAUUAUUGUGAGGAUAAUGGUAUAAUACAAGAGUGACACCUCCUUAUUCACUACAAUCCAAUGGUACUGCAGAAAGGAAAAAUCGAACUUUAAUGGAUAUGGUAAAUGCUAUGCUCAUAAGCUUCGAAGCACCUGAAGACUUAUGGGGUAAAGUUGUCCUAACUUCUUGUUACAUAUUGAAUCCAGUAACUGUUAAAGACAAUAUUAAAAUUUCAUAUGAGCUAUGGAAAAAGAGAUCUCCUAUGUUAGAUUUCUAUAAGUGUGGGGGUGCUUGGCAAAGGUAAUUAUACCUAAUCCUACAAGAAAGAAAAUAGGACCAAAAACUAUAGAUGUUGUUUUCAUAGGAUAUGCUCAAAAUAGCAGUGCAAAUAGGGUCUUGAUUAUAAAUUCUGAAGUAAGUGACAUUAAAAAUAAUACUAGCAUUGAAGCUAGAGAUGCUACUUAUUUUGAAGAUGUUUUCCCAUUUAACACUACAAUUUCAAGUGAACCCUCGACUUCUAACAAAAUGGUUUUAAAUAAUACUCCAUCUAGUUCAUCUUUAGAAGAUAAAGUUGAACAUGAACUUAGGAGGAGUAAAAGGACUAUGAGAGAGAAAUCAUUUCGAGAAGAAUUCUUUACAUAUUUAGUUGAAGGUGAACAAGAAACAUAUAAAGAUGCUAUGGUCUCUACUGAUACACCUUUUUGGAAAGAAGCCAUCAAUGAUGAGUCCGAGUCAAUUAUACAAAAUAGUAAUUGGGUCUUAUGUGAUUUACCUCAAGGAAGUAAGACAAUUGGAUGUGAGUGAGUAUUUAAAAAGUUGAAAUCUGAUGGAAGUAUAGAUAAAUAUAAAGCUAGGUUAGUAGUUAAAGGAUUCACCCAAAAAGGAGUUGAUUAUUUUGAUAUGUAUUCUCCUGUUGCUAGAAUAACUACUAUUAGAAUAAGGAAUUAAUGCAGAGAUUUUCUCAAAGUAACCUUCAGCACUGCAAUAGACUGAGUAACCAAGCAGUGCAUUCCCUGGCGCGACACGCAUGGUCCCUCGAAGACAUUUUCCUCUCUGGUAGCAUAGUGUUCCUUUAUUCAUUGAAAAUGUAAUUUUCAUUGAUAAACACUAUUGUACCCUUUCUUAAGGCUUAUUGCCUUUAUGAAUGAAAUAUUUUCCCAUCAAAAAAAGAAAAAAAAGAAUGGUGAUUUAAAUGAAGAAAUAUAUAUGGAACAACUAGAAGGAUUUAAAGUCAAAGGACAAGAACAUAGAGUAUGUAAAUUAAUGAAGUAAUUAUAUGGACUAAAGUAAGCUCCUAAUUAGUGGCAUGAGAAGUUCAAUAGAGUUAUACUAAGUUAUGGAUUUAAAAAUAAUAUACAUGACAAGUGUGUAUAUUGUAAAGAAGAUAACAAUGAGCAUGUGAUACUUUUUUUAUAUGUAGAUGACAUUAAUAUUUGGGACAAAUUUAAGAUUUGUUAAUGAAGUGAAGAGUUAUUUGUAUAAGAAUUUUGAAAUGAAAGAUUCAGAAGAAGCUCAUAUAAUUUUGGGAAUGAAGUUAAGGAAACUUUCUGAAGGAAUUUCACUAAAUUAAUCUAAUGCUAUUAAAAAGAUGUUGGAAAAGUUUGAACGUUAUGUCAAUAAACAAGUUUCCACUCCAUAUAAUUCAAAUGUACACUUGAAGAAGAAUUUUGGUGAACUAGUUUCUCAAUUUGAGUAUUCUCAAAUUAUUGGAUUUUUAUUGUACAUAGCAAACAUGACAAGACUUGGUAUAACCUUUGCUAUUGGGAGACUUAGUAGAUAUACUAACAAUCCAAGUAAAGAACAUUGAAACGCUCUGGAGAAAGUACUUAAAUAUCUCCGAAGUAUAUUAGAUUGUUCUAUAAACUAUAAAAACUUUCCAAAUGUUAUUGAAUGAUAUAACGACGCAAAUUGGAUAACUGAUAAUGUAGAUAUUAAGUCUACCAUUGGAUGUAUAUUUAUGCAAGGUGGUGGGGGCCAUAUCUUGGGGUUCAACAAGACAAACGAUUAUUUCUAGGAGUACUUUAGAGUCAGAGUUAAUAGCAUUAGAUACAACAUGUACUAAUAUGGAGUGGCUUAGAGAUUUAUUAUUAGAUAUACCAUUAAUAAAUUAGCCAAUCCCAGCUAUUUCAAUACAUUGUGACUGUAAAGCAGUCGUAGAGCCUGUAAAUUAAUCUCACUUAAAUAAGAAGAUGAAUAAGCUUAUUCAAGCAAGACUUAAGUCAGUUAAGCCUUACUUAAGAGAAAUGUGAUUUCUCUCAAUUUCAUGAGAUCUGAAAAGAAUUUAUCAGAUAAUUUAACCAACGCUUUACCCAAAAAGGGUGUUAAUGAAUCAUCGAAAGGGAGGGGCUUAAGCCCAUAAGAGAGUCAUCUUCGAGAGCAACCCAACCUCUGUGGUAGGAACAACCCGCCCUACUUGACUCGUAAUAGCACUAUAUUUUGUGAUCAUCCCUAUGGUGAUAGUGCUAUGCUUAUGAUGUUAGGAAGGGUUUAACCCUGAAUGAGUGUCGAAGCGAGAAUUCUCGCAAGGUUUAGGUCACAUGCACCCUUGGAGGACUCACCUAUGUAAGAGUUGUCAUGAGGUUGUGACUAUAGGAUUGGGCUAUUCCCUAGAGACUCUUACUAGAAUCAAGAUAAGAGGGCAUGGCCAUUAAUAGCACUACCCGAUAUAAAAUUGAGCCUAAAUUGAUACCAUGUGUGGAGCAAUUGAAGUUUGGUUAAAGGGACAUAAUUCAAGCCUUAGUCCAUUAUGGCUCCCUCAAAUGAAAAUUGUUAUUACUAAGUGAGGUUCAAG